AGAACGAACGCUGGCGGCAGGCCUAACACAUGCAAGUCGAACGCCGUAGCAAUACGGAGUGGCAGACGGGUGAGUAACACGUGGGAACAUGCCCUUUGGUUUGGGAUAACUCAGGGAAACUUGAGCUAAUACCGGAUAAGCCCGAGAGGGGAAAGAUUUAUCGCCGAAGGAUUGGCCCGCGUCCGAUUAGCUAGUUGGUGAGGUAAUGGCUCACCAAGGCGACGAUCGGUAGCUGGUCUGAGAGGAUGAUCAGCCACAUUGGGACUGAGACACGGCCCAAACUCCUACGGGAGGCAGCAGGUGGGGAAUAUUGGACAAUGGGCGCAAGCCUGAUCCAGCCAUGCCGCGUGAGUGAUGAAGGCCUAGGUGUAAGCUCUUUUACCGGGAUGAUAAUGACAGUACCGGAGAAUAAGCUCCGGCUAACUCCGUGCCAGCAGCCGC
rnacentral:rRNA from 1 species